GAAAAAGAGAGAAUCCAAAUCCGGUAAAAAGUACCUUUUUUUUAUAAAUUAAGCCUAUGUUUGAUGCCUCUUUUGCAGUUGGCAAUAUUGAUUCUAGAGGUUUAGAAUUGAUUUGAACAUGUUUGGUUGUUAUAGAGUAGAAUUUAUUUUGUGUCUAGGGUUGAUUAUGACUUGAAGCUCUAAUUUUUAGGUUUUGCCUCUAGAAUUGAUUUUUAGCUUUGUAUUUAUCACUCAACUCACUUUACAUGAAUUAAUUCAAACAUAAAUUACUUUAUCUUCAACUCACUUUUAGUCAAAAUCAAUUUUACCAAUCAAUUCAUUCAAAUUUAAUUUUUAUCACCACAUAACCAAACACACCCUAAAAGUUAAAAAAUUCCUCUUGGUUCAAGUUUCAGAGCAAAUAUACCUGAGCUAAAUAAUUAUAAUCAAUUAGAAGAGACUGGAAUUGGAAAUCCAGUUGAAUAGCUAUAGUUUCAGAUGAAGUCAAUUGAAUUUUGUGGUCAUGAUAUGACAUAAAAAAUAUGCAUAGGCAUAAGCUUUGGUAGCAUCACUUUUAUUAUUAUUAUUAUUAUUAUUAUUAUGGUCUUUAGCAGGACGGAACUAUUUCAAUUUAUCAUAAUGCAAACAUCAUGCACAACUUAUGAUUAAUUUGGUAAAGCACAAAUGUUUACGGUUACAACUGUUUACCUAUAUAAACCGUGCACAAAAACUAAACAGAAAAGAAUCCCCUUUAUUUUUAAUUUUAUUUUUCUUCAAGUUGUUGCAACUAUAUGGCUUUGAAGUUUCUGGAAGUUGAAAACCUGAUGUGCAACUCUAAAAGCAAUUUGAGUACUAUUGGGACUUUUUUCCUGAUUUUCUCUAAUUGAAGUUUUACUUUCACAUUCAGUUAUUGGUGGUAUUGUAUCCUAUUUUUGUUUUUCUAAAGGUUACUAGUUUUUUUUUUUUUGUCAUUACCAAGUUACACCUGAUUUCAUUGUAAGGUAUUGUAGCUUCAAUAUUUGAUUAGAUAUGGAAACAUGAAAGUUUGAUCAACAACUAAUAAAUUUAGGUGAAUGCACUGUGCACUUUCACAAUCUUGGUUGCUUAUACCAUUUCCCCUUCCCACACACCAUCCAAUUUUUCCUUCUGGCAGUUGGAAAAUUGUUCACCUAAUUAAUCUGUUUAUGGAAGAGAGUUGACUAUGUUGAAAUGGAUUGAUUUGCUGUAAUAUGCAAAGUUUUCUAUUACUCUUGUCAUGUUUUUUAUGGAGAUUUUUUGGUUUCAGGUUCCAUUAUAUGUGGCCACAAAAAUGGCAUCAAUCAAGAAAUCUUCAUUCUUUGUCCCAUCAACGGACGGCUAUGCAAAAGCAGGUGUGAGAUGGAUAGGAUAUGAACCUCGUUGCACGCCAUACUGGCCUCAUACCCUUCUUUGGGCCGUGGCAUACUCGUUGCCUGAGUUCAUAGUUGAUGCUUGGCGUCUGCAGUUUUGUAUUGGUAUUAGAAAGAGGGGACUGCUGAAAGAUUCAAGGAAGAAGGAUUGAAAGGAUGUUUGAUUGUUUGUAAUGUGUAGGCAUAGAUGUUGCUGAUAACUGCAGGCUGCUGCAAGUAGAUUAAGAUUCCAAGUUGUUUGUUAUGUUUCUAGUUUUACUCUUAAUUAAUGUUGCUGGUCUUAAUGAGUAUCAGUUAUGUGUCCCUACUCUUUUUUCUUCUCACAUUCCGUUUGUGUUUCUGUUCUCUGUUAAUUGAUAACUGGUAUUCUAAAUUGUGAGCAUUUCUGUUCCAUUAUCUCAUGUUCUCCCAUCCACAGCCAUUAACCACGUUGCUGAGAGCCUCAGACAACAUUCUCACCCCCCAUCGAUCACACAACCUCCGUGUUUAGCAAACCAUCACUCAGUUUUUCUCAUCUCGCUUCACCGCAUUGUUUCGUUUAAUUGAUAUUGGACAAUAUUCUUUAAAAUAUAAAUGAUUGACAAUUUCUUUGACUAUAGAAUUUUUCAAGGACAAUCCUAGUUCAACAUAUUGAAUUUUAUGAAUGGACAAAUAAAUCGCCGAAAUAAUAUGUACUUUUACAUAUAUCUCAUUCAUAUCAAUGUUCUGUUGUCACUCUAAAAUUAUUUUAUCGUAUUUAAUCUCUAAGUGACUCCUAUAAAUGUAACAUAAAAUGUAAAAAUUUAAUGUUUUAUAAAUUUUCGAUGGAGUAUUAUUCACGUUGUAUCUACAUUAAAAGUCACAUAUUUGUUUAAUGUGAUAUGUCAAUUUUUAAUGACAAAAAUAAAUAGAAUAACUAUUUGAAUUAUUGAUUAUAAUUUUAGAAUGUAGAUGUCAAUUUAUAAAAUAUAUAUAUAUAAACUAUUUUGAUUGUUGUAUUAUCUGAGAACCAACUUUUGCCUAACUUUUUUUCUUUUAACUUACCUUUUUUCUAAUAAAAGUUAAUGAGAUAUAGAGACAUCAAAAUAGAGAAAAAGACACCAACUAUGCCGAUACUUCAUUCCAUAACAAACAUAUGUACCUCAUAAAUACAUUCAAUAAUAAUAAAAAUAAAAGUGACUAAUAACUUGAAAGAACCGGAUCAAAACUCGAUAAAACAAACAAUAUAAAAGACCAUCAAUUGAUGUCUCAUUAAUAGAGUGCAUUAAUUAAUGAAAGCAUAAAGUAAAAAGUCAAAUCCUAUUAUGGAAAAGUCCUCCUUAAUAUAAUUGGGAUUAGAAUUCCACCAAAACUGACCAUCAGACAGAAAGCAACGUUGGACAAUUUAUCUACAUAAGCAUUACAUUCCUUAUAACUAUGACUAACUAAAACAAAGGCUUCUUACAACAUGAACACGACGACAAUAGCAAUAUCAAUAAUAAUAAUAAUAAUAAUAAUAAUAAUAAUAAUAAUAAUGUAAUAUGCAAAGUUUUCUAUUACUCUUGUCAUGUUUUUUAUGGAGAUUUUUUGGUUUCAGGUUCCAUUAUAUGUGGCCACAAAAAUGGCAUCAAUCAAGAAAUCUUCAUUCUUUGUCCCAUCAACGGACGGCUAUGCAAAAGCAGGUGUGAGAUGGAUAGGAUAUGAACCUCGUUGCACGCCAUACUGGCCUCAUACCCUUCUUUGGGCCGUGGCAUACUCGUUGCCUGAGUUCAUAGUUGAUGCUUGGCGUCUGCAGUUUUGUAUUGGUAUUAGAAAGAGGGGACUGCUGAAAGAUUCAAGGAAGAAGGAUUGAAAGGAUGUUUGAUUGUUUGUAAUGUGUAGGCAUAGAUGUUGCUGAUAACUGCAGGCUGCUGCAAGUAGAUUAAGAUUCCAAGUUGUUUGUUAUGUUUCUAGUUUUACUCUUAAUUAAUGUUGCUGGUCUUAAUGAGUAUCAGUUAUGUGUCCCUACUCUUUUUUCUUCUCACAUUCCGUUUGUGUUUCUGUUCUCUGUUAAUUGAUAACUGGUAUUCUAAAUUGUGAGCAUUUCUGUUCCAUUAUCUCAUGUUCUCC
rnacentral:lncRNA from 1 species